rnacentral:rRNA from 1 species
GUGUCAGCCGCCGCGGUAAUACGUAGGGGGCGAGCGUUGUCCGAAUUUAUUGGGCGUAAAGCGCGUGUAGGCGGCUCUUUAAGUCAGAUGUGAAAUCCUGCGGCUCAACCGCAGAACUGCAUUUGAUACUGGAGGGCUUGAGUGUGGGAGAGGAAAGUGGAAUUCCUGGUGUAGCGGUGAAAUGCGUAGAUAUCAGGAGGAACACCCGUGGCGAAGGCGGCUUUCUGGCCCACCACUGACGCUGAGACGCGAAAGCUAGGGGAGCGAACGGGAUUAGAAACCCGCGUAGUCC